UACGAAGGGGGCUAGCGUUGCUCGGAAUCACUGGGCGUAAAGGGUGCGUAGGCGGGUCUUUUAAGUCAGGGGUGAAAUCCUGGAGCUCAACUCCAGAACUGCCUUUGAUACUGAAGAUCUUGAGUUCGGGAGAGGUGAGUGGAACUGCGAGUGUAGAGGUGAAAUUCGUAGAGAUCGGGAGGAACACCAGAGGCGAAGGCGGCGACCUGGACAGGAACUGACACUAAACUGCGAAAGCGUGGGGAGCAAACAGG
rnacentral:rRNA from 1 species